CGCUGCGGUUACUGUUUGUACAUCUCCCCUAACAGAUUUUCGUUGUACUGUUGUUUCUUUAUCUUGCUGUUCUUUUUUAAAUGUAUUUUUUCGCCUGGUUUUUAGUCGGUGUUUAAAAUCAUCGCCUCGCCAGCACAACUGAAUUUCGGAACAGACAGCAAGGUGUUUCCUGCCUGAAAGACUGUGACAAUGCUGCCCAUCCCCAACACCCUGCAAGGCUGCAUUCUUGCCAAGUCCUACUUGGAAAUUCUCCAAAAACCUAUACAAGACCUGGAGAACAGACUCCCCCCUGACUGCAUCCUCAGCAUAAGUGACAUACGUGAGGGAGACUCUUUUUCUGUUCUUCACACGAAAGACACGGUGGUAUUAGAUUUUAGAUAUUUCUGACCACACAAAGACGGCACUGUCUGAAUGACACAAAUGCGUUUGUGUUUUGUUGCUUGGGGGUUAAAAAGUGAGAAAGACACCUUGUCGGAAUUCUUCAC